rnacentral:rRNA from 1 species
CCUACGGGUGGCUGCAGUGGGGAAUAUUGGACAAUGGGGGGAACCCUGAUCCAGCCAUGCCGCGUGUGUGAAGAAGGCCCUCGGGUUGUAAAGCACUUUCAGUGAGGAAGAACGCCUGGUGGUUAAUACCCAUCAGGAAAGACAUCACUCACAGAAGAAGCACCGGCUAACUCCGUGCCAGCAGCCGCGGUAAUACGGAGGGUGCGAGCGUUAAUCGGAAUUACUGGGCGUAAAGCGCGCGUAGGUGGCUGGAUAAGCCGGUUGUGAAAGCCCCGGGCUCAACCUGGGAACGGCAUCCGGAACUGUGAAGCUAGAGUGCAGGAGAGGAAGGUAGAAUUCCCGGUGUAGCGGUGAAAUGCGUAGAGAUCGGGAGGAAUACCAGUGGCGAAGGCGGCCUUCUGGACUGACACUGACACUGAGGUGCGAAAGCGUGGGUAGCAAACAGGAUUAGAUACCCGGGUAGUC